AGAGUUUGAUCCUGGCUCAGGAUGAACGCUGGCGGCGUGCCUAAUACAUGCAAGUCGAGCGAACAGACGAGGAGCUUGCUCCUCUGACGUUAGCGGCGGACGGGUGAGUAACACGUGGAUAACCUACCUAUAAGACUGGGAUAACUUCGGGAAACCGGAGCUAAUACCGGAUAAUAUAUUGAACCGCAUGGUUCAAUAGUGAAAGACGGUUUUGCUGUCACUUAUAGAUGGAUCCGCGCCGCAUUAGCUAGUUGGUAAGGUAACGGCUUACCAAGGCAACGAUGCGUAGCCGACCUGAGAGGGUGAUCGGCCACACUGGAACUGAGACACGGUCCAGACUCCUACGGGAGGCAGCAGUAGGGAAUCUUCCGCAAUGGGCGAAAGCUUGACGGAGCAACGCCGCGUGAGUGAUGAAGGUCUUCGGAUCGUAAAACUCUGUUAUUAGGGAAGAACAAAUGUGUAAGUAACUAUGCACGUCUUGACGGUACCUAAUCAGAAAGCCACGGCUAACUACGUGCCAGCAGCCGCGGUAAUACGUAGGUGGCAAGCGUUAUCCGGAAUUAUUGGGCGUAAAGCGCGCGUAGGCGGUUUUUUAAGUCUGAUGUGAAAGCCCACGGCUCAACCGUGGAGGGUCAUUGGAAACUGGAAAACUUGAGUGCAGAAGAGGAAAGUGGAAUUCCAUGUGUAGCGGUGAAAUGCGCAGAGAUAUGGAGGAACACCAGUGGCGAAGGCGACUUUCUGGUCUGUAACUGACGCUGAUGUGCGAAAGCGUGGGGAUCAAACAGGAUAGAUACCCUGGUAGUCCACGCCGUAAACGAUGAGUGCUAAGUGUUAGGGGGUUUCCGCCCCUUAGUGCUGCAGCUAACGCAUUAAGCACUCCGCCUGGGGAGUACGACCGCAAGUUGAAACUCAAGGAAUUGACGG
rnacentral:rRNA from 1 species